rnacentral:rRNA from 1 species
UUAUUCGGAUUUACUGGGCUUAAAGAGUUCGUAGGCGGUUCUGUAAGUGAGGUGUGAAAUCCCUUGGCUCAACCAAGGAAUUGCGCUUCAAACUGCCGGGCUCGAGGGAGAUAGAGGUGAGCGGAACUGAUGGUGGAGCGGUGAAAUGCGUUGAUAUCAGGAGGAACACCGGUGGCGAAGGCGGAUCUCUGGGCCUUACCUGACGCUGAGGCGCGAAAGCUAGGGGAGCAAACAGG